UUAUUGAGAUGCUGUCACGCGCACUGUUCACGAUCAUGGUCCAAGCUUUGAUGCGAUUCCGCGUAUUUGAGAUUUGAUUAAUUUAUUAAUUAUAAGCAUGGAAGUGAUGCAAGUACGUACGUUAGUACUGUGUCGUAGUGUGUUUGCUCAACUUCCUCAAGUGUUCGUCGUGUAGGAGUAGGAGUACGUCUUUGGUAAGCAACAGGACACAAAUAUGGUAAUACCAUCGUCCAGAGUUAUGAACAGUGGUUCAGACAUGAUGCAUCGUGGCAAGCUAACCACUCAUACCCAUGCCCCAAUACUCAUAAUACGUGCCCAUCUCACCAUCACAACGGAUAAGAUCCCUACUUGCUCUUAAUUAAUCCUGACACCGACAACAACAAACCCUCCCAUCCGAAUAGUUGAACCUGAUCACGGCACCAAUGGAACGGAAUUGCACGGACGACUGUGACUGAAUCUCAUCCCGCACACGAGCUCAUCUAUAGAGAAUGAAGGAAGGGACAUCGCAUUCCAGAACAAGAUCCGCCAUCCCGUCUCAAGAGAACAUCCAAAACAUUAACGUGCGCAUCAAUGGCGCCUCCUCGCGCGUUCGCAUGUACGACAAAAAAAUACAUCCAUCAAGCUCCCAUCGCUCGUCCCCGUCUUUAAUGUGUCGAAGUAAAAAAAAAUUAGCGAUGGAUCCCUUCCUUCCCUUGGAAGGUAGCCUCUACUUUUCUUUUGGCCCACAUCGUCACAUCAGCUCUCGCACGCAACCUCCAAAGCCUCCGCCGCCGCCGCCGCCGCCGCCUCAGCCAUUUCUCUCGUCUUCUCCUCCCUGUUCCCCUGCCCUAGCCUAUCUCUAGCACUCCGCCUCUCCCUUUCUUCCUCGAGUACGGCAGCGGAAGGGGGGCCGCGACGGGAGAGAGGUUCUCCGCCCCCGACAGACGACGUCACCGCCUCCGACCUUGGCCUCGUCUGCAGCAGCAGGGACCUCUGCCCGUGUGUCUCUGUCUCGCUGCUCAUCCUCCGGGAGGGGACUCGGAAGGAGGGUCAUGCUCCUGGUUGGGAUCUCCGUGCUCCCGCUCCUGCACCUCCAUCUGCGUUCGAUCUCGUCACUGGUGAGUAGUGCUCUGCUCAGCGUGGGGAUGACCUAUGAGAUUCUUAGUUUGAAAUCUGAUGUGAAUCUCCUAAAAACCGAUGCAAAUCUGUCUUGAGAACAUAACCUUCGAAUCACGGAUCCUUGGAGAUUUUCUGAAGCUUUAGUCCCAAGCCAGGAAAUGGCUAGCUGGCUAUGUUAAUCAUCGCUCUGAGGAAAUCAAAAUCUUCUGUGGGAAUGGCCACUCUGAAUGUUCUGAACCAUCCCUUGAUGUUGUCUCUAGGUCCGUCCAGGCCCUGCCGUCCACUUGCCGACUUCUUCUUGGCGCAAUGGGUGGGGUACGUUGGUCUGUGUUGGUCUCCAGUUUUGGUCUUGUUGUAGAGGUCUUCGACUGCGGUUGUGAAGCGGUUCGGUUGCUCUGUGGCUUGCCCCAUCGCCAUCGGCAUGACGUUGGCCUAGGUGAAGCAAGUAUUUUAGUACGCGUGGUGGGUGUGUUUGCUAAUUCCUGUGAUUGGCAUUGUAAUAGCUGAAAGGCGUUGUAUCCGGCUUCUUUGCCGCUUAUUCUUUAAUAUAUGAUACAUAUGCUCAUGCGUAUUCAAGAAAAAUGUUCUGAACCAUCCCUACCCAUAUAAAGAAAUUGUGGGAGCGGGACGGCGGGAUCUGCUCCGGCCGGUGCGGGACGCGCUACUGUCGCUCAUGCAGCAGAACGGCGUCGACCUGAUCUUCUGGAGGGCAGAGUCGAACCAGAACAUGUAUCAAGGGACCAUGACAUAUCUAGCAUCGGUAUCUGAAGAUGGCAAGAUCUGGUCAUGGCAUCUGACUUUUGACAAGUCAGUAUCUUCCAAGAAAAUUAAUCCUGCUCGGCCUCUUCGCGUGGUUCGUUGAGUGAUGGGUCGUGCCAUUGUCUAACUGGGUGCCCCUCGCGGCCGCCGUCUGGGCGAUGAUUCAGUAUGGGGUUGUAGAAGAUUUGAACAAAAGAUGGAAGCACCUUAUACUGAACACAACAGUACAGUAUGUGCUGUUCCCUUGCUCUAUUUACAUUAUUGUUUGUUUAUGGAGAUAGUCAUGCUCAUUUUACCUCUAUUGUACCUUACAACUCCAAUAGAGCCUUGGGAGGGGUUGAACAAACUUUUGAUUGAAGUUUGGCCCAACUACAUGGAACCGAAACUAUCAAGGAAGUUUCGUGCUUGGAUGCAACUCAGUAGUUGGUAGUUCAAAAGGUUUCACAAAUAACAUUAGAUUAUACUAUAUGCAUCUGAUCCAUGGAAGUUGAUUAUGUAGAAUCAAAUCAUUUCAAAAUUCCUUUUGAUUCUGUUGAUUUGAGGUAGACGGUACACCUGCUGCAGUGGACUUCGUCGUCUCAUCAGCAUGCUCGCCCGCGACAGUACACCUGCUGCAGCUCCGUAAGCCCCACUAAUCACUAGGUCUCAUUACUCUUUCUGUCCGACGUGGCAUGCGAGAGCGAAGGAUAGAGGUUGCCACGAAAUACCCAACAAAUGCACUUGUCGAUCGUCUUGCUCUUAUUAGGUAGUCGUUUCAGUGAAAGUAUAUCCGCCGCCUGUUCAUUUUUCAAUUCACUUUCAAUAGACAGUUUGCAUUAUCUGUUUUUUCCUGGGAGUUGAAGCAAAGAAUUUGUUAUGUUUCCUUAUGCUGUGAAUCUGAAGUAUUUCUUGCUAACUAAGAACCCUGCACAGCUUGAUACUGCACUGUCGGCCCUGAAUCCUUGGAUAUUGGGAAGUUUGAAGAAGCAUGUGGUGUAGAUGAUGCCCAUCGACGCUGCUACCUCCGGAAGGUCACGGAUGAGGCUACCCGAGCUGGACAACGGGGCGUUUUUGGAUGUGGAGGAGGUCCGACCAGAGGAGCGGCAUGUACUUCCCUUGGUUUGAAUACUAUGGUCAGAUUUUUUUCCCGAGAAUCCACAAGUUGUGCUGGUCUUGAAGAAUGUAUUAAGUUCAUUGCAAACUUAAAGUUCAGAGAUGAUAUGCAAGGGCGCCGCCUCUCCCUCACCGUCCAUCGUCACUAGACACGACGUCGUGAGCAGCACUUGCUAUAUAUAUAUAUAUAUAUAUGAACUAUCUAUCAUCUUUAGCUAAUCUCUAGACACAUCGUCAUCAGCAGCACCUGCUAUCUAUAUAUAUGAACCCUACUUUUCUUUUGAAGAUCGUUUUUCUUUUAGAGCAUGUUAGCCUUUGAUUUCAAUUCAAUGUUGUCCUCUAUCAUCCACCAUGUAAGAUUGUGACCUAUCUUAUAAUAUGCACCUAUUACCUUGCUAUGUCUCUUGAAUGAACAUUUUUCUCUAAGUUUUUGUUAACUGUACCCUGGCCUGCAUAUGCACGUGCACAGCUGCACAGCCAAGGCAAGUGCGCACAAGAACGCACAGGAGGCGCGCCCAGGGCGCGCCCCACCUACUAGUCAUGUUAAAGCUGUCACCGCAACGCAACAACCGCGCAGACCUAUCGCGAUGCGACCGAAUAGGUUUCGGUUCAGAACGCCGGAAGAUCUGGGCGUUCCCAUGCAAGUUGCUCCUCAAGGACUUCACCCGGAAACGCAAUAGUUUAGCAGUGCCGUGUCGCGGCCAGAGGCCAAAUCAUAUGCCUUCCGAGGGUUGUGUACAGACAUCCUUUUCCCUGGCAUUUCUUAAGCUGAAAUGACAGCUCCAUAUGUAGGUCUACUGAGGGGCAUCUAACUAGUUACUAAGCUCCCAGGAAAUCCUUGCUGUGUGGCAAUGUAAAUAUUCUACUACCUGCUUAAUCAAUAAAACGCUGGUAAGUCGCCGGAACUUUCAGAAAAAAAAACUGGGUUGUGAUGGUCGUCAGCCAGUUGUUGGAUGGUUUUCUUGAUGUGCCCCAUGGUGGCGAUGUUGGGGCUGAGGGGCAGGUCGAUGAGCCUGGUUCUUCUGGUCAUGGUGGCAGUACUGAGGUUCAGGUGGUUGCGCCUGCUCCUGCCGUUCAUGGUGACGAUGGUGAGCCAUGUGUGGAUGUGCAUGGUCUUUAUAGCUUCCGAGCUCCCUACAAAGGAAGUUCUCUGGUUGAGCGUGGUUGUGUGCUAAUAUGACAAAUUCUAUUCACCAAUAAAGGUACUAAUCAAAGUUUUGGAUGAAUGGUACUUGAAUAUCCUUUGUGUGACAUUGUCUUUUGGGGAUAAGGGACUAUUGUAGUAUGUAUUAAAAGCGACAACCUUUGAAGAGGAUACUGAUUUCUUCGCUAUUUUUUUCUUGAAUUUUAGUUUUGCUAGCUUAGCUUGUUUCUACGGGCCUCUUCUUUUCCUUACCUGUCCUAGCAUUUCAUUUCCUCCAGGAGAUGAUGGAGAGGAUCAGUAGAAGGAUGAAGAUGGUGUAGGCCAUGGAGGCAUGAACCCACGUUGUGGCAAGGACUUGCUGAUCUAGAAAGGAGAGCGAUCAAGAAGAGAGCAUUCAUAAUUACGGAAGAACCUUGUGGUUUGCCAAAAGACUUGAAGAGAUAAAAGUAUCAGGUCUGGUUUUGUCACAAAAAAGGAAUCUGAAGUCCUCUUUCAUGCUUUCAAAGGUGUAUGUAGUACAAAGAUAGAGCAUAAUUGAUUGAAACACCAUGGAUGUCCUUUUUUUUACUUUCUUUUCCUUUCUUUUGAGAUAGAUGUUGUUUUAUUUCCCUUCCCGUAAUGUAUGUAUAGAUGCUGGUAUUUCGUUGUGAACUGAAGAAGCGUCUAAGGGUUAUAUCCUCUAAUCUCUCCGUACCACAAUAUAAAAUCAUUUUUCA